AUUGAACGCUGGCGGCAUGCCUAACACAUGCAAGUCGAACGGAUAGCGGACGGGUGAGUAAUUUCUGGGAAACUGCCUGAUGGAGGGGGAUAACUACUGGAAACGGUAGAUAAAACCGCAUACCAUCGGAUGUGCCCAGAUGGGAUUAGCUAGUAGGUGGGGUAACGGAUAACCUAGGCGUCGAUCCCUAGCUGGUCUGAGAGGAUGACCAGCCACACUGGAACUGAGACACGGUCCAGACUCCUACGGGAGGCAGCAGUGGGGAAUAUUGCACAAUGGGCGAAAGCCUGACGCAGCCAUGCCGCGUGUAUGAAGAAGGCCUUCGGGUUGUAAAGUACUGUCAGCGGGGAGGCGUUACCCGAAGAAGAAGCACCGGCUAACUCCGUGCCAGCAGCCGCGGUAAUAC
rnacentral:rRNA from 1 species